rnacentral:piRNA from 1 species
UACAAAUCGAGGUCCAGGAUAGC